GGGAGGAGCUUGCGUCACAUUAGUUAGUUGGUGGGGUAAAGGCCUACCAAGACUAUGAUGUGUAGCCGGGCUGAGAGGUUGAACGGCCACAUUGGGACUGAGACCGGCCCAAACUCCUACGGGAGGCAGCAGUAGGGAAUUUUCGGCAAUGGAGGAAACUCUGACCGAGCAACGCCGCGUGAACGAUGAAGUAUUUCGGUACGUAAAGUUCUUUUAUUAGGGAAGAAUAAAUGAUGGAAAAAUCAUUCUGACGGUACCUAAUGAAUAAGCCCCGGCUAACUAUGUGCCAGCAGCCGCGGUAAUACAUAGGGGGCAAGCGUUAUCCGGAAUUAUUGGGCGUAAAGGGUGCGUAGGCGGUUAAAUAAGUUUAUGGUCUAAGUGCAAUGCUCAACAUUGUGAUGCUAUAAAAACUGUUUAGCUAGAGUAAGAUAGAGGCAAGUGGAAUUCCAUGUGUAGUGGUAAAAUGCGUAAAUAUAUGGAGGAACACCAGUAGCGAAGGCGGCUUGCUGGGUCUUUACUGACGCUGAGGCACGAAAGCGUGGGGAGCAAACAGGAUUAGAUACCCUGGUAGUCCACGCCGUAAACGAUGAGUACUAAACGUUGGGUAAAACCAGUGUUGAAGUUAACACAUUAAGUACUCCGCCUGAGUAGUACGUACGCAAGUAUGAAACUUAAAGGAAUUGACGGGACUCCGCACAAGCGGUGGAUCAUGUUGUUUAAUUCGAAGGUACCCGAAAAACCUCACCAGGUCUUGACAUGCUUCUGCAAAGCUGUAGAAACACAGUGGAGGUUAUCAGUUGCACAGGUGGUGCAUGGUUGUCGUCAGCUCGUGUCGUGAGAUGUUGGGUUAAGUCCCGCAACGAGCGCAACCCUUAUUGUUAGUUACCAGCACGUAAUGGUGGGGACUUUAGCAAGACUGCCAGUGAUAAAUUGGAGGAAGGUGGGGACGACGUCAAAUCAUCAUGCCCCUUAUGACCUGGGCUACAAACGUGAUACAAUGGCUGUUACAAAGGGUAGCUGAAGCGCAAGUUUUUGGCGAAUCUCAAAAAAACAGUCUCAGUUCGGAUUGAAGUCUGCAACUCGACUUCAUGAAGUUGGAAUCGCUAGUAAUCGCGAAUCAGCAUGUCGCGGUGAAUACGUUCUCGGGG
rnacentral:rRNA from 1 species